UACGAAGGGGGCUAGCGUUGUUCGGAAUUACUGGGCGUAAAGCGUAUGCAGGCGGAUCGUUAAGUCGGGGGUGAAAUCCCGAGGCUCAACCUCGGAACUGCCUUCGAUACUGGCGAUCUUCGAGUCCGGGAGAGGUGAGUGGAACUCCGAGUGUAGAGGUGAAAUUCGUAGAUAUUCGGAGGAACACCAAUGGCGAAGGCAGCUCGCUGGGACGUGACUGACGCUGAGACGCGAAAGCGUGGGGAGCAAACAGG
rnacentral:rRNA from 1 species